UUGCAUGUAGAAAUACCUGUUCCUCAUUUCUUUAGGGGCAGGAAUACUUCUAUAGCACGCUACAUGAAAAAAAGAAAAAGGAGUUCUUAGGGCUACCAGCCUUACAGUAGAGGCUGAGUAGUAGUAUGUUUCUCCUACACAC